rnacentral:rRNA from 1 species
UACGAAGGGGGCUAGCGUUGCUUGGAAUCACUGGGCGUAAAGCGCACGUAGGCGGGCUCUUAAGUCGGUGGUGAAAUCCUGGAGCUCAACUCCAGAACUGCCUCCGAUACUGAGAGUCUUCGAGUUCGGGAGAGGUGAGUGGAACUGCGAGUGUAGAGGUGAAAUUCGUAGAUAUUCGCAAGAACACCAGUGGCGAAGGCGGCUCACUGGCCCGAUACUGACGCUGAGGUGCGAAAGCGUGGGGAGCAAACAGG